CAGUAGCCGCGGUAAUACGAAGGGUGCAAGCGUUAAUCGGAAUUACUGGGCGUAAAGCGUGCGUAGGCGGUGAGUUAAGUCUGCUGUGAAAUCCCCGGGCUCAACCUGGGAAUGGCAGUGGAUACUGGCUCGCUAGAGUGUGUCAGAGGAUGGUGAAAUUCCCGGUGUAGCGGUGAAAUGCGUAGAGAUCGGGAGGAACAUCAGUGGCGAAGGCGGCCAUCUGGGACAACACUGACGCUGAGGCACGAAAGCGUGGGGAGCAAACAAGAUUAGAUACCCCAGUAGUCCCUGUCUCUUAUAC
rnacentral:rRNA from 1 species